rnacentral:lncRNA from 1 species
GUUUUCUAAGAGAAUGUAAUUGGUCUUACUCUUAAGUCCUUGUCACAAACUCGUUGGGAAAGCCAUAUUAAAAGUGUUAGAGCGAUAAAAUUUCAAGCUUCGCAAAUAAAAAAAGCGUUACUUCAAUUAGCAAAUGUUGAUGAUUCUAAGACAAAAAGUGAGGCGGAGUGUUUGGCAACAUAUGAGAUUGACAAUUUUGAAUUCUUACUUGGAAUGAUUAUUUGGUAUGAAGUGUUGAAUAAUGUUAACAGAGUAAGCAAACAUUUACAAGCAGAAGACAUGCAUAUUGAUGUUGUUAUAGACCAUUUAAAAGGACUCAUUUCAUUUUUCAAAAGUUAUAGAGAAUCUGGUUUUGAAUCGGCCAUGGUUGAUGUUAAAGAGAUUGCGAGUGAAUUAGAA